UACAGAGGGGGCGAGCGUUAUUCGGAAUUAUUGGGCGUAAAGGGCGCGUAGGCGGCCUUUCAAGUGACGGGUGAAAUCCCUCGGCUUAACCGAGGAACUGCCUGUCAGACUGGAAGGCUUGAGACCGGGAGAGGUGAGUGGAAUUCCCAGUGUAGCGGUGAAAUGCGUAGAUAUUGGGAGGAACACCAGUGGCGAAGGCGGCUCACUGGACCGGUACUGACGCUGAGGCGCGAAAGCGUGGGGAGCGAACAGG
rnacentral:rRNA from 1 species